rnacentral:rRNA from 1 species
AGAGUUUGAUCCUGGCUUAGGAUGAACGCUAGCGACAGCUAACACAUGCAGUCGAGGGGCAGCAUAAAAGUAGCAAUACGUUGGUGGCGACCGGCGCACGGGUGAGUAACGCGUAUGCAACCUACCUAUCAGAGGGGAAUAACCCGGCGAAAGUCGGACUAAUACCGCAUAAAACAGGGACACCGCAUGGUGAUAUUUGUUAAAGAAAUUCGCUGAUAGAUGGGCAUGCGUUCCAUUAGGUAGUUGGUGAGGUAACGGCUCACCAAGCCGACGAUGGAUAGGGGAACUGAGAGGUUGGUCCCCCACACUGGUACUGAGACACGGACCAGACUCCUACGGGAGGCAGCAGUGAGGAAUAUUGGUCAAUGGGCGAGAGCCUGAACCAGCCAAGUCGCGUGAAGGAAGAAGGAUCUAUGGUUCGUAAACUUCUUUUGCAGGGGAAUAAAGUGCAGGACGUGUCCUGUUUUGUAUGUACCCUGAGAAUAAGGAUCGGCUAACUCCGUGCCAGCCGCCGC